GACGAACGCUGGCGGCGUGCUUAACACAUGCAAGUCGAGCGGAAAGGCCACUUCGGUGGUACUCGAGCGGCGAACGGGUGAGUAACACGUGAGUAAUCUGCCCUUGGCUUUGGGAUAGCCACCGGAAACGGUGAUUAAUACCGGAUAUGACCACUUCUCGCAUGGGAUGGUGGUGGAAAGUUUUUUCGGCCAGGGAUGUGCUCGCGGCCUAUCAGCUUGAUGGUGAGGUAAUGGCUCACCAUGGCUUCGACGGGUAGCCGGCCUGAGAGGGUGACCGGUCACACUGGGACUGAGACACGGCCGAGACUCGUACGGGAGGCAGCAGUGGGGAAUGUUGGACGAGGGGCGGAAGCCUGAUCCAGCAACGCCGCGUGAGGGAUGACGGCCUUCGGGUUGUAAACCUCUUUCAGCAGGGACGAAGCGCAAGUGACGGUACCUGCAGAAGAAGCACCGGCCAACUACGUGCCAGCAGCCGCCGUAACAC
rnacentral:rRNA from 1 species